AUCUUCAGAGUUUGUGGCAGUAUAAAUUUGUCUAAGAAGUUUGGAUAAACGUAAAUAAUAGAAUCUUAUUAUAUUUUUUACAUCAACAGAAAGUAGUGAUCAAAGAGUAAAAGUAUGUAAACCCCAACGUUUUAUUGAUACUCAUGGAUCUGAUAAUAUCCAAACGGAAACAGCCGAUGCAUUACGUUUCAUAGCUGAGUAUGAAGGCAGACCCGAUCCCGUUGACACUGGGAAUAUUGAUUUUAAAAAAGCAUACCUUACGCUAGCUGUUGCUUUGGAAGGCAUACCAUUACCGGAGGAUAAGGUCACUGAAGCUCUAUUUGCAAAAUGUAUGGCUGAGGUAGAAAAGACUGCCAGGGAACUUCUUAAAGGUCAACUAAAUUUAAAAAAGCUCAUUGAGUCCCUGGCGAAAACCCAGCCAAAGACAAUUGUAAUACAUUUUCUAGACCUACAGAAAACAAUGAACUUUCUGUUCUCCGAGAUUUGAUCACAAAAAUGAAUUACAACCCUUUAUAUAUAUCUGAAGCCAAUCUCAAAUUUGCCACAAAUCCUGCAAAAUUCAUAGAAGAGAAGUAGAGAGUAGUAGUUGAUGUAUACCACCAAUAAAUUCCAUAUUUAAAGGGUUCUGUAGUGUAGUAGUAGAACCCACCCACAGGUAUUUUCUUACCUGUUUGAUCUCAUACUGUAAGAUGUAGUUGAAUUUAGAAGUUCUUUAAGACUAUUGCAUUUAUUAUUAAAGUUAAAAGUGAUAAUUUUUUUAAGAGUAUAGUUGGCUGUUUUUUUUAUUCUUGAAUACAAUGUACUAUAAAUUAGGUAUGAUACCUUAAACACUGUCAUUGUAUAUUUUGAUUUAUGAUAACUUUAUUUUUUUAUGUGAUAUUGUUGAUAUUUUAGUUAAGUAGAUGAUGUUGAAGUAUGCUUCUUUAUUACAAGUAAUAUAAUGAAUGUUAGAUAUAGUUAAGAUUUGGGAGAAUAAACUCUUAGAAGAUUUUAAAUGCUACUUUUCUAUAUCCCAAAAACUUGUUCUGCUUCUGUUUCUUGGGUAUAAUAAUGGUAGAUAAAUAUUUAUCUUAGAAUAUAAACUAUCAUUAGUGAUACACUGAUAUUUUAUAGAGGAUUUGCAUUGAAUAGGUUCUGAAUUGCUGAACUGGUUUGAAAAAUUGUUUCAUCAAGAGCUACAUUAUAUUAUAUAACAGAAUGACAAGACUAUUUUUAAUCCCUGGUGACGCCGCCACAGAAAACAUGUACAAGUACACCGCUGAGGUCCUAUUACCAUUAUGUACAUACUUAUUAUUACUAUAUCCAUUAUGGAGUCUACAAACAAGACUACAUUUUUAUCCUUGUAUUCCAAUGACCAAUGGGAAUGGAAAUGAUGUGGAUAUAACUGGGUUAGCGGUACUGCUAGUAUGAAUAUGGCUCUUACUUUCAAACAAAUUAAUAAUACUGAUUUCAAACAAUCAGUCAAUGAUAUUGCUUUUUGAGAUGAAAAUAUGUAACAAUUUAACUUGAUGUAGCUAUUGUGGGAACUUUCUUAUGAUCAGUGUGUGAUUACAUUGUAUUAAAAAAAUUUAAUAAAAAAAAUUCAAAUUUUUUGCUUUUUAGUUUAGGGUAAUUUUUGAGUUGGAAGUCGGUUGAAUUUUUUUUAUUAAAUUUUUUUAUUUAUAUGUAUUUUUCAUUUAAUCAAUACAUAUAAAUAAAAGUAUCUGUGAUUUAAAAAUAACUGUGUUUUUUCUAGUACUUUUAGUUGUUUACACGACACUAAAAUACAGUUGUACACCAAUUUUCUUUCUACAAACGCUAACGUUAGUCUCACUAUUGAUCGCGAAUCUUUUGUCUUGCUAAACGUGGACAUUUAAAAGUUACCUUUUUCUUUUUAAGGUUUUUAACGUGACUUGUACAAUAAGCUCACCCCUCUUGAACGUUGCGUUGCUUGUUUUUUGUUUGCCAAAACUGUGAAAUUACUUUGUAGAUUGUAUGUUUUCAGUUCUUUUAUUUGAUUUUUAUUAAGUAUUUUAAGUGGCAAAUAAAUAGCUUGAAAAUAUUCAAC